AUCACACAUAAACUUGAAACUUUUAUCCUUCCUAUUACAUAUAUUACUUUGAAAUAAUAUGCAACUUAUAUUGAACAUAAUUAGCCCAUAGGCUAUUAUAUUUGAAAAAGCUGCCACGGGAAUGUAAUGUCUCACAUCUAAAAACUCACCGCUAAAAAUUUCAUCGCAUUUUUCUUGCCGGGAAAAUUCCGAUGCGAUAGAAUGCGGGUAAAUAGAGACGGAUUCCUUUGGCACUUCUCAAUCUUUCUCCACAGACCUCCAUAAAUCCCCUUUUGAGGAUGCAAACAGCGGCAGUAUUUCAUUGUCACUGCGGGAGAAGCAGAAAUGAAUAACAAUUUGUUGAUUUCUGUCCCAGUAUCAUCAUACAUUGCCAAUGUCAUACACAGCCAAUCGCCAUCUCAACCUCGCGACAUUAUGUAGAGGGGAUCGGUUGAAAGAGUUGCUACACAUUCUGCUUACCACACAUAACCCGCCUGUACAGUGUUAUCCAUGUCUUCAACUAUUGGAGGCUUGCGUUUCCAAGAAAUCCCUUUCAGAGGGUAAGCAAAUCCACUCCCAGAUCACCCAUAUGCGAUUUGGUUUUGCUACAGCUACAGUUUUCCAAAAUAAGCUUAUCAACAUGUAUGUCAAGUGCGGUAGCUAGGUGGAUGCUCGUAGAGUGUUUGGCGACAUCACCAAACGAGAUGCCAUUUUAUGGAAUAUCAUAAAUUGCAGGAGGCAUUGAUAUGGUUUCAUCAAAUGCAACGAACGAGUGUCCAACCCGAUCAUUUUACCUUUUCCAGCAUGCUCGCAGUCUAUGCCAAAUUAAGAGCUUUGGAAGAGGGCAUGGACAUCCACAAAACAUAAUGGAAAGUGGGAUUUUAUCAGAUGUAGUUACAAAUGCCCUGGUUGAUAUGUAUGCAAAAUGUGGAAGAAUAUGCGAAGCACGUGAACUGUUUGACAAAAUACCCCAAAAGAAUGUAGUCUUAUGGAUUGCAAUGAUUGUAGUUUAUGAACAAAAUGGUGAACUUGGAGAGGCAAUAAGGCUUUUCAAAGAAAUGUCUCGAAGAGAUGCGAUGAUUGCAGAAUAUGCGCAAAAUGGAUUUGUUGAUAUGCCUUUAGAAAUUUUGAAGCAAAUGCAAUUGGCAGGAGUGAGACCAAACGCCACAACCUUUUCUAGCAUACUCCCAGCCUGUGGCAAAACGAGAGGUUUGAAACAGGGCGUGAACAUCCAUCAAAGUAUAAUUAAAGGCGGUUUUUUGUCAGAUGUGGUAGUUGCAAAUGCUAUGUUAGAUAUGUAUGCAAAAUGUGGAAGCAUGCACAUGGCACGUGAACUCUUUGACAAAAUGCCUCAAAGAGAAAUGGUUUCCUGGACUGCAAUCACUGCGAGUUAUGCACAAAUUGGUGACCUUGACGAGGCUUUAAGGCUUUUCAAAGAAAUGCCUCAAAGAAAUGUGAUCUCAUGGAAUACAAUAAUUACAGGAUAUACGCAAAAUGGGUUUGUUGAGAAGGCGUUGGAAACUUAAAAGCAAAUGCAAUUGGCAGGUGUAAAGCCAGUCUCCACAACCUUUGUAAGCAUUCUGCUAGCCUACCCCAAAAUGGUAGCUUUAGAACAGGGUAUACACAUCCAUCAAACUAUAAUUGAAAGUGGAUUUUUGUCAGAUGUUGUAGUUGCAAGUUCCCUAGUAGAAAUGUAUGCAAAGUGUGCAAGAAUACAUACGACACAAACUAUUUGACAGAAUGCCUCAAAAAGAUGUUGUCUCAUGGAAUGCAAUAAUUGUAGAUCAUGCACAAAAUGGAUCUUCCAAACGUUCUCUCAAAUUGAACUAAUGAAGCACUCUGGAACAGACCCUGACCAUGUAAGCUUUUUUUUUGCUGUGUUUUAUUAGCAUGCAUCCAUGCAGGUUUAGUAGAUGAGGAUUGUAAAUAUUUCAAUGCUAUGAGUGACUCUUAUUACAUCAUGCCUACAUUUGAUCAUUAUGCGUGCAUGGUUUACCUUCUUGGUUGUGUUGGCUCUCUUGAUGAAGCUCUAAACUUUACCAUUAAAAUGCCUACAAAACCUAUAGUGGUUGUGUGGACAUCUUUGCUUGGUGCCUAUAGAUCACAUAAGAAUAAAAAGUUACGAGUGUUUACAGCAAAUCUUAUAUUUGAGCUGGAUUAAAAAUAUGUUGCGACUUAUGUUCUUCUAGCAAACAUCUGUGUAUAAAUGGGCAGGUGGAGUGAGGUUCAAAUGGUAAGGCAAUUAAUGGAAGACAGAGGAAUUAAAAAGAUACAUGGAUGUAGUUGGAUAAAAAACCCAAAAAUGGUACAUGCUUUUUGUAUGGGAGACAAACCACACCCACAAACACAGGAGAUAUAUGCAAAGUUGGAUGAAUUGUCUUUAGAGAUGAAGGCAACAGGAUAUUUUCCAAAUCCAAGAUGAUAGAGAAGAGGAAGAAAAAGAACUAUUUCUCUGCCACCAUAGUGAGAAGUUGGCAAUUGCUUUUGGAUUGUUAAACACACCCCCUAGAACAACCAUUAGAGUUGUUAAGAAUCUUCAAGUAUGUAUUGACUGUCACACUGCAACCAAGUUUAUCUCCAAGAUUGCUGCAAGACAAAUUGUUGUAAGGAAACCUGCACGUCUCAAACGAUAAGCUGGAGGAGGAAAUGAAGAAUGGGAAAAGAAAACAAAGAGAGAAUAGCUGCUUGGUCAAUAGAAAACGGAAAGCUGCUUAGCCAACAUGAAAUGUGACAGACAAGGACUUACAAUCCAAUGAUUGGAGAUGAUUUGAGCAGCAUCUCUUGAUUCUUUACCUCGAGCAUUUUGUAUCUUUCUUUUGUGUCAAUUAAUUGUAUUAUUAUGUAUCAUACUACAUUAAUUGGCCAAAGAUUUUAAUGCCCCCAUUGCUUUACUGAAUGUAAUUAAUUACUUUAGAUUAAAUUUAAAGUUGAUUUGA